GAUGACGACGACUCAGAUGAAGAUGGAAGGGUCUUUUCAAUGGAGUGUUUAUGGACCUUUUGCAGAUUAAUAGGAGACUUGAUACAACGUUUGAAGAAAUCAGUACGGAAACCUCGUAGAAAAGAAGGUGCCGUGAGUGAUACAUCUACAAGGAAAGCCGGAAUUGAAAAAGAUGAGAUGGUUCCGGUUCUUAGGAGAGGUGGGUAAUGUGGUAUUUCUGUAGCACCUAGUUCCUUAUGUAUCGGAUGUAUUGUGGGGUUGAAUGUGUUCCACAUAAGGGAA